rnacentral:rRNA from 1 species
GUGAGGAAUAUUGGUCAAUGGGCGAGAGCCUGAACCAGCCAAGUAGCGUGCAGGACGACUGCCCUAUGGGUUGUAAACUGCUUUUAUGCGGGGAUAAAGUGAGGGACGUGUCCCUUUUUGUAGGUACCGCAUGAAUAAGGACCGGCUAAUUCCGUGCCAGCAGCCGCGGUAAUACGGAAGGUCCGGGCGUUAUCCGGAUUUAUUGGGUUUAAAGGGAGCGCAGGCCGAUGGUUAAGCGUGACGUGAAAUGUAGCCGCUCAACGGCUGAACUGCGUCGCGAACUGGCUGUCUUGAGUGAGUACGACGUCAGCGGAAUUCGUGGUGUAGCGGUGAAAUGCUUAGAUAUCACGAAGAACCCCGAUUGCGAAGGCAGCUGACGAGUCCUUUACUGACGCUAAAGCUCGAAGGUGCGGGUAUCGAACAGG